GAUGAACGCUGGCGGCGUGCCUAACACAUGCAAGUCGAACGAACCUGAUCUUCGGAAAAGGUUAGUGGCGCACAGGUGAGUAACACGUAGGUGACCUGCCCUGGAGCGGGGGAUAACUUCUCGAAAGAGAGGCUAAUACCGCAUACGCUCGGCCAUUCAGUUGGUCGAGUAAAGCUCCGGCGCUCCAGGAGGGGCCUGCGUCCGAUUAGCUAGUUGGUGAGGGAAUGGCUCACCAAGGCGAUGAUCGGUAGCUGGUCUGAGAGGACGAUCAGCCACACUGGCACUGACACACGGGCUAGACUCCUACGGGAGGCAACAGUGAGGAAUAUUGGUCAAUGGGCGAAAGCCUGAACCAGCAACGCCGCGUGAGGGAUGAAGGCCUUCGGGUCGUAAACCUCUUUUCUGGGAGAAGAGACAAGGACGGUAUCCCAGGAAUAAGUCUCGGCUAACUACGUGCCAGCCGCCGCAGUAAAAC
rnacentral:rRNA from 1 species